rnacentral:snoRNA from 1 species
ACCACUCAGGAAUCCUUUCACUGAGAUCUGAGCAAUGGUCUCAGUGGCGAUAAAGCGAGGCAACGUAAACCUGAAACGGAUUUGGAUUAUUUUGUGACAUGCAAGUCCAUUUCAAACAAAC